rnacentral:rRNA from 1 species
GAUGAACGCUGGCGGCGUGCCUAAUACAUGCAAGUCGAGCGAACAGACGAGGAGCUUGCUCCUCUGACGUUAGCGGCGGACGGGUGAGUAACACGUGGAUAACCUACCUAUAAGACUGGGAUAACUUCGGGAAACCGGAGCUAAUACCGGAUAAUAUAUUGAACCGCAUGGUUCAAUAGUGAAAGACGGUUUUGCUGUCACUUAUAGAUGGAUCCCGGCCGCAUUAGCUAGUUGGUAAGGUAACGGCUUACCAAGGCAACGAUGCGUAGCCGACCUGAGAGGGUGAUCGGCCACACUGGAACUGAGACACGGUCCAGACUCCUACGGGAGGCCGCAGUAGGGAAUCUUCCGCAAUGGGCGAAAGCUUGACGGAGCAACGCCGCGUGAGUGAUGAAGGUCUUCGGAUCGUAAAACUCUGUUAUUAGGGAAGAACAAAUGUGUAAGUAACUAUGCACGUCUUGACGGUACCUAAUCAGAAAGCAACGGCUAACUACGUG